AUGUCAUUGAUCAUUGCCACUUUCGCAGCGCUUGCUUUGUGCUUCGCCCCUGCUCCGGGUGCAGCGGCGAUCUCCGCGCGGCGUCCGCUGCAGGGCAACGACACGCUGGUCUCGGCGCAGGGCAAGUUCGAGCUCGGCCUGUUCAGCCCCGCUGGCAGCUCCGACGGCAGGUUCUACCUCGGGAUCUGGUACAAGAACAUCCCCGGCCAGACCGUCGUCUGGGUCGGCAACCGCGCGACUCCAUUGUCUGGCGUCGCCUCGGCCGAGCUCCGGGUCUCUGCCGACGAUGGUAACCUCGAGCUCGUCGGUCCCACCGCUGCCUCCGCCUCGCCGGUCGUUGUGUGGUCAUCGAGCUUGUCGUCGUCGUCAUCACCGGGCUCGAACAACACGGCGGAGAUCCGCGACAACGGCAACCUGGUCCUUCUGGACGGCAGCAACUCCUCCAACGUGCUGUGGCAGAGCUUCGACCACCCCACGGACACGCUGGUUCCCGACGCGUGGCUCGGGGAGAACAAGCUCACCGGCGAGUACCAGGUGCUGACGUCGUGGCGGAACGCCCAAGACCCCGCGCCGGGAAUGUUCACCGACACGGUGGACCCCAACGGGACCAGCGAGUUCUUCUACAUGUGGAACCAGUCCCGCACGUACUGGCGCAGCGGCGUCUGGACGGGGCGCUUCUUCGCGACCAUGCCGGAGGCGACGAGGAACGUCCUCUUCAACCAGACGUACGUCGAGACGCCGGCGUACCGGCGCGUCAGCAACGCGCUCUACAACAGCACAACCAUCACGCGCAUGGUGCUCGAACUAACCGGCCAGACAAAGCAGUACAUCUGGGUGCCCGCGACCCAGAACUGGCAACUUUUCUGGGCCGCGCCCACCAUGCAGUGCGACGUGUACGCGCUCUGCGGCGCGUUCGGGGUCUGCGACCUGAGUAGCCAGCCGUCGUGCAGGUGCCCACCCGGGUUAGCUCCGACGUCGGAGCGGGACUGGACGGUCAGCGACUGGAGCGGUGGGUGCCGCCGGAGCGCGCCGCUCUGGUGCCCAUACAACGGCUCGACGACGGACGGGUUCGUGGUGCUACCGAACGUGAAGCUCCCCGACGACUCGCUCGCCAUGGGCGCUGUCCAGAGCAAAGCAGAGUGCGAGUCCGCCUGCCAAAAGAGCUGCUCUUGCGAGGCCUAUACCUUCUCCACCGGGAGGUGCGCCGUCUGGCACGGAGAGCUCCGAAACCUUCAGCAGCUCUACACGGACUCCGGUGUAUCCCGAUCGGACGUUUACCUCCGGCUCUCAGCAACAGGAUUGCGGGACCUCCACAACACGGUCAGUAAAGGCGGGAGAUUGUCAUGGCUUGUUCUUGUCAUGACAUUAGUAGGUGUUGCCGCACUGGGUGCGUCGGUAAUACUGGCCUGGAGGAUUCUCCUAGCCCGGAGGAGGCGACUGACAAACCAGAAGGGGUCGUCCUUGACCGUGUACAGCUACGGUGACCUCCAUGCCGCCACCAAUAACUUCUCGGAGAGGCUAGGUGGCGGCGGCUUCGGCUCGGUGUACCGCGGCAUCCUGAAGGAGCAAAAAGGAGGCAAGACGGCCCAAGUCCAAGUGGCAGUGAAGAAGCUGGAAAGUCUUGGUGGGCGGCAGGGCGACAAGCAGUUCCGGACGGAGGUGAGCACGCUGGGGCUCAUCCAGCACGUGAACCUCGUCCGUCUCCUCGGGUUUUGCUCGUCGGGCGACGAGAAGAUGCUCGUGUACGAGUACAUGCCUAGAGGCUCUCUUGAUGGCUACCUCUUUGACGGUGGCGCGUGCCCGAGCUGGCGCGAUCGGUACUGCAUCAUGAUCGGCGUGGCCAGAGGGUUGGCCUACUUGCACCACGGUUGCCAUGAGUGCAUCAUACACUGCGAUAUCAAGCCGGAGAACAUCCUGCUAGACGAGGACAUGUCCCCUAGGAUCGCCGAUUUCGGAAUGGCGAAGUUGGUGGGGAGGGACUUUAGCCGCGCGCUGACGACCAUGCGGGGCACCAUCGGGUACCUCGCGCCGGAGUGGAUCUUCGGGCAGCCCAUCAGUGCCAAGGCGGACGUAUACAGCUUUGGGAUGGUGCUCUUCGAGCUCAUCUCCGGACGACGCAACUCUGAGGGGUAUAGCGAGGUGCGGCAUGCGGCGGGGACUGUGCGGCGUGGAUCGUCAACCUUCUUCCCGGUCUGGGCCGCCGGGAAGGUCGUGGAAGGGGAGGUGGGCACCGUGGCUGACCUGCGGCUUCGUGGCGACGUGAUGCCAGAGGAGCUGGAGCGGGUGUGCAAGGUGGCAUGCUGGUGCAUCCAGGACGAGGAGGCGCAGCGCCCAACCAUGGUGCAAGUCGUGCAGGCGCUGGAGGGCACCGUACAUGUCCACACGCCGCCGGUGCUGCGGGCGCUGCAGCACCUUGUCAUGCUCACGUAA
rnacentral:rRNA from 1 species